UACACAGCGAGCACCAAGGAGACCAGGGCAGCAACUAAGGGAAAACAACUGGACAGGAUGACUAAAGUUAUGCAAAGGAGACUGCCCAUAGCUGUUGAGGAAGGCAAAAAAAGGCCACAUGAACCUGUUCAAGCUGCCAAGUUUGCAUCAGAGGCUGGCAUCAUUAUUCGGGAAACCAUGCCUAUCCUAACUCAUUGGAAAGAUUACAAGGACGACCAGAAAUACUACAACAACUUUAUGUCACCGCUAAAUUUAAGUGCAUUACUGAUUCUAUGGUUCACUUGUAUACUGCUUAACCUAAAUUGACUAACUAUGGAAUUGUCAUAUGCAUAGGGGCGCUUGUCCGUUAACACUGAGGACAAGGCAACAAAGGAAGCUUGCACCGAUAUGCUACGCUCUGCGGUAAAAAACCAGCGUUAUCGGCUCAAGCAGAAAUACUUCAAUGGUGUACCUACAAAUGAGAUUAGGACAACUUCUCCUUAUCUUACAUGACUGAUGAACAGUGGAGGGCAUUAGUUGCAAAGUGGUCUGAUCCAAAGAACAUGGAAAUAAGUGAAAAGAACAAGCAGAACCACAGUAAAGUCAAGUUUCAUCAGGCUACGGGUUCUCGCUGCUAUGUGGCACACUUACAUGCAUAUAAGCAGAAGAGAAACAGAGAAGAACCCAGCUUAGAUCAGACUGAAUAACUAGAUGCGGUGGACGCCUUCAAGACCUGCCAUACCAGCUCCAAACGUGGCCUGAGUGAACCCGCAAGAGAAGCACUUGCUUUGAGGGCUGAACCUGUUGCUGAAGGUGAGAUGCCAGCAUCCAGUGUGCAGCUUGUGUCCAAGGUGUUGUCCCAGAGCAGCUCACACCAAUUCCUGAAGAGUGUUGGCAUCAAAACACCGGCAUCCUCCAAGUCAUCAUCAUCAAAUCAAAGUGAGCUUCGGGAACAACUUGCAGCUGAAGCGACGGCUGCUGUUCAAGGUGAACUCAACCAGCUCAAGAAGAAAUAUGAAGAAGCUGAGGAACAGCAGGCGAGGACACAAAGGGAGUUGGAGGAGUACAAGAAGAUAACAGAGAAGAACAGCAAGGAGAUGGAGGAGACCAAUGUGCUCAUCAAGAAGCUCUUGUCCUUGCAUGGUAACACUUCUUCUUCGACAUGAGGGCCGCUGGUCAGAGCUACUGUGUUUGGCCUGUUCUUUGACAAGGGUACCCAAAAACUCAAGUUGCUCGUGGGUGGCAACUUUUUAUUAUAUGAUUUUGUUUGUGCAAACACAACUGAAAUGUUAAGUCAAGUGGUGGUGCUGUGAACUGAAAUGUUAAGUCAAGUGGUGAUGUUGUGAAUUGAA